GAUCCUGGCUCAGGAUGAACGCUAGCGACAGGCUUAACACAUGCAAGUCGAGGGGCAUCAUGAGGUAGCAAUACCUUGAUGGCGACCGGCGCACGGGUGAGUAACGCGUAUGCAACCUGCCUGAUACCGGGGUAUAGCCCAUGGAAACGUGGAUUAACACCCCAUAGUACUUUUAUCCUGCAUGGGAUAGGAGUUAAAUGUUCAAGGUAUCGGAUGGGCAUGCGUCCUAUUAGUUUAG
rnacentral:rRNA from 1 species